GUUACUGUGUAAUAAGCUCAGUAUAAUAGUUACUGUGUGUAAUAAGCUCAGUAUAAUAGUUACUGUGUGUAAUAAGCUCAGUAUAAUAUUACUGUGUAAUAAGCUCAGUAUAAUAGUUACUGUGUAAUAAGCUCAGUAUAAUAGUUACUGUGUGUAAUAAGCUCAGUAUAAUAGUUACUGUGUAAUAAGCUCAGUAUAAUAGUUACUGUGUAAUAAGCUCAGUAUAAUAGUUACUGUGUAAUAAGCUCAGUAUAAUAGUUACUGUGUAAUAAGCUCAGUAUAAUAGUUACUGUGUAAUAAGCUCAGUAUAAUAGUUACUGUGUAAUAAGCUCAGUAUAAUAGUUACUGUGUGUAAUAAGCUCAGUAUAAUGUUACUGUGUAAUAAGCUCAGUAUAAUAGUUACUGUGUAAUAAGCUCAGUAUAAUAUUACUGUGUAAUAAGCUCAGUAUAAUAAUUACUGUGUAAUAAGCUCAGUAUAAUAGUUACUGUGUUUGCUGCCACAGAAAA